rnacentral:rRNA from 1 species
CGGUGAAUACGUUCCCGGGCCUUGUACACACCGCCCGUCAAGCCAUGGAAGCUGGGGGUACCUGAAGUACGUAACCGCAAGGAGCGUCCUAGGGUAAAACCGGUAACUGGGGCU